rnacentral:piRNA from 1 species
UCUGUAGCACCUAUAUUUCAAACACCUACAC